rnacentral:rRNA from 1 species
CGAGCAGGUGCGAAAGCAGGUCAUAGUGAUCCGGUGGUUCUGAAUGGAAGGGCCAUCGCUCAACGGAUAAAAGGUACUCCGGGGAUAACAGGCUGAUACCGCCCAAGAGUUCAUAUCGACGGCGGUGUUUGGCACCUCGAUGUCGGCUCAUCACAUCCUGGGGCUGAAGUAGGUCCCAAGGGUAUGGCUGUUCGCCAUUUAAAGUGGUACGCGAGCUGGGUUUAGAACGUCGUGAGACAGUUCGGUCCCUAUCUGCCGUGGGCGCUGGAGAACUGAGGGGGGC